AACGAACGCUGGCGGCAGGCUUAACACAUGCAAGUCGAACGCCCGUAGCAAUACGGGAGUGGCGGACGGGUGAGUAACGCGUGGGAACGUACCCUGAGGUACGGAAUAACCGAGGGAAACUUCGGCUAAUACCGUAUGAGCCCCGCAAGGGGGAAAGAUUUAUCGCCUUGGGAGCGGCCCGCGUCGGAUUAGCUAGUUGGUGGGGUAACGGCCUACCAAGGCUUCGAUCCGUAGCUGGUCUGAGAGGACGAUCAGCCACACUGGGACUGAGACACGGCCCAGACUCCUACGGGAGGCAGCAGUGGGGAAUCUUGCGCAAUGGGGGCAACCCUGACGCAGCCAUGCCGCGUGAACGAUGAAGGCCUUAGGGUUGUAAAGUUCUUUUACCCGUGACGAUGAUGACGGUAACGGGGGAAUAAGCUCCGGCUAACUUCGUG
rnacentral:rRNA from 1 species